UGAAGUCGGAAUCGCUAGUAAUCGUGGAUCAGAAUGCCACGGUGAAUACGUUCCCGGGCCUUGUACACACCGCCCGUCACACCAUGGGAGUGGGCUGCAAAAGAAGUAGGUAGUUUAACCUUCGGGAGGACGCUUACCACUUUGUGGUUCAUGACUGGGGUGAAGUCGUAACAAGGUAGCGCUAGGGGAACCUGGCGCUGGAUCACCUCCUUAUACGA
rnacentral:rRNA from 1 species